CCGUUUCCUGGAAGGCGUUGCUACAGAUGCGAAAAGGGUAGACCGACAACGUAGACGGAGUUCCUGUGGUGUUGGUGGUGACAAGAGGACGAAAUCAACCGGAGCCUUCGCGCGAACCUGGCCGAUUCGAUGAUGGCGGACGGAUUUUCAUAAAGAAUUCGAAUUGAACUGACUGGGUGGAAGAGAAACCAAAGCCAAAGUUUGUAACACGCACCAACACGAACACAAACGUACACAGCUUUUUGGGCCAAUACAAUAAGAACCAUAAAAAUACUGUAUUUAAUUAUAUAUUUCAUUGUCCAUAUUCUUUUUUUACAGUACAAUUUAGUGGAGAGAAAAAAAA